UACGUAGGGUGCGAGCGUUAAUCGGAAUUACUGGGCGUAAAGCGUGCGCAGGCGGCUGGUCAAGUCCGAUGUGAAAGCUCCCGGCUUAACUGGGAAAUUGCAUCGGAAACUGAUCGGCUGGAAGGUGGGAGAGGGUAGCGGAAUUCCCGGUGUAGUGGUGAAAUGCGUAGAUAUCGGGAGGAACACCAGUGGCGAAAGCGGCUACCUGGCCCAUUCUUGACGCUGAGGCGCGAAAGCUAGGGGAGCAAACGGG
rnacentral:rRNA from 1 species